UUGGAAGUUCAUCUAAGUUUAGGUUUCAUGCGGAUCACUAAUGAUAGUGUCUUGAACGUUGAUACUCAUUAAAUGGACAACAAAGAUUUGUUUAAGGACGGUGAAGAAACUGUAUAAACACACUUAUAUUUCCCCAUGCCUUGAGUGACUUUUCACCACGGUUGAAAAUUCCAACCGUGGUAAAAAAGUGGCUUAAAAAAAAAAAAAAAAAACUAUAACGCGCAACCUAUCACAACGGUUACUUUAAACAACUAUUGUUGUAUAUAUCAACCUAUAUCAUCCGUUACUUUAAAUAACCGUUGUUAUAUGCCUUUUAAUAAAAUAAAAAAAAUGCAAUAGUAGAAUUACGACAACAAAAACAAAACCAAAAACAAAACCAAAAACAAUAAGAACAACAAAAAGAACAACAACAACAAUAACAACAACAAGAAAAACAACAAGAAUAACAAAAGCCAACAACAACAACAAAACCAACAACAACAAUAACAACAACAAGAACAACAAGAAAAACAACAAGAACAACAUGAAUAACAACAAGAAUAACAAAAACAACAACAACAAUAAAAACAACAUUAUAAGUGCUACGAUUCGAACUCAUGAU
rnacentral:lncRNA from 1 species